GAUGAACGCUGGCGGCGUGCCUAAUACAUGCAAGUAGAACGCUGAAGCUUGGUGCUUGCACCGAGCGGAUGAGUUGCGAACGGGUGAGUAACGCGUAGGUAACCUGCCUCUUAGCGGGGGAUAACUAUUGGAAACGAUAGCUAAUACCGCAUAAAAGACGAUAUCGCAUGAUAUUGAUUUGAAAGGUGCAAAUGCAUCACUAAGAGAUGGACCUGCGUUGUAUUAGCUAGUUGGUGAGGUAACGGCUCACCAAGGCAACGAUACAUAGCCGACCUGAGAGGGUGAUCGGCCACACUGGGACUGAGACACGGCCCAGACUCCUACGGGAGGCAGCAGUAGGGAAUCUUCGGCAAUGGGGGCAACCCUGACCGAGCAACGCCGCGUGAGUGAAGAAGGUUUUCGGAUCGUAAAGCUCUGUUGUAAGAGAAGAACGAGUGUGAGAGUGGAAAGUUCACACUGUGACGGUAACUUACCAGAAAGGGACGGCUAACUACGUGCCAGCAGCCGCGGUAAUACGUAGGUCCCGAGCGUUAUCCGGAUUUAUUGGGCGUAAAGCGAGCGCAGGCGGUUAGAUAAGUCUGAAGUUAAAGGCUGUGGCUUAACCAUAGUACGCUUUGGAAACUGUUUAACUUGAGUGCAGAAGGGGAGAGUGGAAUUCCAUGUGUAGCGGUGAAAUGCGUAGAUAUAUGGAGGAACACCGGUGGCGAAAGCGGCUCUCUGGUCUGUAACUGACGCUGAGGCUCGAAAGCGUGGGGAGCCAACAGG
rnacentral:rRNA from 1 species